AUUCCGAUACAAUUUUAGGUAAUAUUUAUAUUCCAAUGAAAUGGGCACAGGACGGUCUACUUCGUUUUGGCAACAGAAGAAGCAAAACAAAUUGUUAGUUUGAAGAGCAUGUUCACCGUAACAUUACAGAUAAGGGAAACAAAGUGUUUAUCUUAAA